UCACAUUGAAAUAUUUAUUAUCUUUGAGUCAUUGAUGCACCGUGAUAUUUAUCUUUCAUUGUUUUUUUUUGACGAAAAGAUGGUCAUAGGGCAAUAUUCCAUUGAUUAAUCAAAAGGAGAAAUACAAAUUGCAGUAGAGCUACAGUUAGGGAGAUCGGCGUGUUUUGGAGCUGAUUUCCAGCCGGCACGACCAGUAUACAACAACAUCUUUCAUUGUUUUCAAUAUCCCUUUCCCAGCGAUUCAGUUAGACAAGCAUUUGAACAGGUAAAAUCCCGUAGAAAUCAAGUUAGCUCCGCUCAACGUUGCAUGCAUGCAUAUGUAUGCUUCAUUUUCAAUUUUGUGUACCCGAGUCCUCGAACGUGGCUAUGAAUGCAGGCAAUGUGGAAGCACGACGCAAAUCUGCAUCGCACACCCGACCAGCGCGCCUGCCCAGCCACGCUAAAUAAUUGAUUACUGUUCCACAGUGCGCACAGCAGGAGCGGAAUACUUAGCAAAUACGCAAAACCGGCAUACGAGCGAGGCAUAAUUGCUCCGACCCAUGAUGACCAGACCCAGAGGUGGUGGUUGUACAACAUCCAAAGACAUACUCAUACCCGCGCCGUACGGCGGUGCGGGUGACCGGACCGGGCGGUACGCCCCGCCCCCGUCUCCGUCUCCGACACCGGUCACAGCUCACAGGCUCAGCAGCAGGCCUUUAUCCCACCCUGACCGUCGACGUACACCCACCGACCGCGGGGUAAAGAAAGUGGCAGGCUAAUCCGCUGUUCAUUCUUAAACCCAACCCAGCCCCAGAUCCUGAUCCCACUCGCCCGCUGCCGUGUCCUUCGCUCGUGCUCUCCUCCUCUCCCCCACCCCACCACCA
rnacentral:lncRNA from 1 species